rnacentral:miRNA from 1 species
GUGCAAAAGUAAUUGUGGUUUUUGUCAUUAAAAGUAAUGGCAAAAAGAUGCAAUUACUUU